UACGUAGGGUCCGAGCGUUGUCCGGAAUUACUGGGCGUAAAGAGCUCGUAGGCGGUCUGUCGCGUCGGCUGUGAAAUCCCGGAGCUCAACUCCGGGUCUGCAGUCGAUACGGGCAAACUGGAGUACUGCAGGGGAGACUGGAAUUCCGCGUGUAGCAGUGAAAUGCGUAGAUAUCGGAAGGAACAUCAGUGGCGAAGGCGACUUUCUGGACAGAUACUGACACUGAGGCACGAAAGCGUGGGGAGCGAACAGG
rnacentral:rRNA from 1 species